ACAAUACCAUCCUCUAUCAGAGUCCACAGGUGCACUAAAAAAAAAUACUGUCCAUUUCAGCUGAGUACACCGUCUUCCACUCUUUGGUAGGUAUUUAAUGCAAGUUUUAAUAUUCCUGAUGCAUCAGUUUGGUUUGUGGUAUCAGAUCUGACCCAAAAGUAACAAAAAAAAAAAUAAAAAUAAAAGAUUUGAGAUCUCAAAA